CGCGUAGGCGGAUGUUACAGUCAGGCGUGAAAUUCCUGGGCUCAACCUGGGGGCUGCGUUUGAUACGUGAUGUCUGGAGUUCGGAAGAGGGUCGUGGAAUUCCCAGUGUAGAGGUGAAAUUCGUAGAUAUUGGGAAGAACACCGGUGGCGAAGGCGGCGACCUGGUCCGAUACUGACGCUGAGGCGCGAAAGUGUGGGGAGCAAACAGGAUUAGAUACCCUGGUAGUCCACGCUGUAAACGAUGUGCGCUGGAUGUUGGGUGACAUAGUCAUUCAGUGUCGUAGCUAACGCGAUAAGCGCACCGCCUGGGGAGUACGGCCGCAAGGUUGAAA
rnacentral:rRNA from 1 species